rnacentral:rRNA from 1 species
CAGUUAGGAAUCUUGCGCAAUGGGCGAAAGCCUGACGCAGCAACGCCGCGUGCGGGAUGAAGGCCUUCGGGUUGUAAACCGCUUUCAGUGGGGACGAAAUUGACGGUACCCACAGAAGAAGCCCCGGCUAACUACGUGCCAGCAGCCGCGGUAACACGUAGGGGGCAAGCGUUGUCCGGAUUUAUUGGGCGUAAAGAGCUCGUAGGCGGUUCGGUAAGUCGGGUGUGAAAACUCAGGGCUCAACCCUGAGACGCCACCCGAUACUGCUGUGACUCGAGUCCGGUAGGGGAGCAUGGAAUUCCUGGUGUAGCGGUGAAAUGCGCAGAUAUCAGGAGGAACACCAGUGGCGAAGGCGGUGCUCUGGGCCGGAACUGACGCUGAGGAGCGAAAGCGUGGGUAGCAAACAGGAUUAGA